rnacentral:lncRNA from 1 species
UUCUUUCUCGUCCCUUCCAGAGCGCUACAGCUGAGAGCGGCGACCAGGGGCGACCUCGCGUUCCCCCGUCGAUUCGCCGUCAACCUCGCCUCUGGCGCCCUCUUCGGCGUCGGAAGAGGAGGGGGGCUGGAUGAAUCGACGGAGGAUUUGUAUAUACCCGUGCUUAUUAGGCUUAGGUUAAAUAAGUUAGGGUUAGGUUUCCUCAUUCCGACGAUGCGCAUGGGUUCUUCUUCCUGGGCGGCGUCUCCAGCGCACGACGGCGUGGGCGUGCGGAGGACGGCUCCGACAUCUACGGCGGCUUCCCCGACUUCGCUGGCGGCGACUGCAUCAGUGAAGAGUACGAGCUCGCCGGAUUUGGAGUACUGGUAUCUUCUCUGGAUCUGGUCGGGUUCGCCUUUUGUCCCUUCCUUACCUUCUCCGGCGUUGGCGCUGGCGAGGCUGGCUCCUCCAGUGAAGAUCUUGAGAUCUUGGGAGGUAUGUCUACCGACUCGCUGUGAAACCGGAUUGGUUCUUGCCUACCACCAGUUCUGGUGGUUUCAUUCCCCUUCUGGGUGUGCACUCGUUCGGUGAGUGGGGACUGCUGGUAGCUCUUGAGGCGCUAGAUUCCUUGCACUCCGGCGAUGUGAUGGUCAGCAGCCAUCUUCUUUGGCCUGGGCGUUCAGCGGGCAAAAAGUAUGCCGAUUUCGACAUACUGCUCUUGGUGCCAAUUAAAACUUGUGUUCAAUCGUCGGAAGGAGGUCGGCUUCGAGCUCCAAGCUGCUUCGAUCGCCAGCGACGAGGACGACCGGUAGGAUGACUUCGCAAGGAUUGUGUUGUAAUUUUCACUUUCUUCAAGGGUGUCUUUGCAAGUCUUGGAAUGUAAACUUUAUGAAAAAUUUAUGAACACAAACCCGGUUUCUAAAAAAAACCGCAGGAGCACGCAAGCAAACACGGGUUCCUGCCACAAAUAUUUGGGAAAUAUAUAUAGUGCACCAUCGUGUUCACACUUGUUGCCUGAUCUAUUUCGAAUUCCCAGGCACCUGAGAUAUAGGACAUUUGGAAA